AUUGUGCAAUUUGUGUUUAUGUUUUCAUUAUUGACCUUUUCAAUUAAUCAUAUUUUUAGGAUGUGUGAAAGUUUCUUUAAUUGUUAUUCUUCAGUUUGUGGUUGUUUAUAUUAUGGUUUAUUAAUUAAAUCGUUUGUUGAAUGCAUAAUUGAUGUAUUUUUGUGACUUAGAUGAGGCUACUAUGAACUAAUCUGUGUUUUUAUUCCAAGAAAUUUGGAAGGCAUGAUUACAUUGUAGUUCAUCUAAGUAAAAAUCUAAUUAUAACAAAUUUUGUUGUAGGAACGCCUUAUCCGAGCGAUGAUCCUUUCAAACCUCUUAAGGUAUGUUAACCUCAUGAAAAACAUAGUUUUCUUAAAUUGUAGCGGAUUCAGGAGUUUCUGAACUGUUGAAACUUCAAUUGUUGGUUUUUACAGCUCACUUUUUGAUUGCUCUGUUUCUGUUCAUUUUUAUGUUAUUUUUUCAGCUAUAUGUGUGGAUUUGUAUGUCGAAAAUAACUCUUAUUUACUUUUUUUGUGGGGGAGGGGGGGGUGAAAUUGUGGGUUUUGUUCAAUUUCUCACAUUUGAGACGUAAAGGUCACUUUUUG
rnacentral:lncRNA from 1 species